rnacentral:tRNA from 1 species
GCCCGCCUAGCUCAAUCGGAUAGAGCGUCAGACUCUUAAUGCGGGUGAUCUGAAGGCUGCGAGUUCGACCCUCGCGGUGGGCU